ensembl:lncRNA
GGAGUAUGUAAAAGCUAAAGACAAAUCUUCAACUGAAGAAGUGGCAAAGAAGACUAACAAAAAAAGACAUGAAAGAGAACGAUAUGCCUGCUGUCGUGAAUUUCGAAUGAAAAGAUUACAGACUAUGAAAAUUCAAUAUGCUGAAAACUGUCAUUACCGUAAACAAAGACUAUUAUCAGCCAAAAAUUAUUAUGCAAAUCCUCAUAUUCAAGAAAAAGUAAAAGCCCACAAGGUGAAGAGAUACCAAAGUGAUCAUCAUUUUCAACGAAAAAUGAGAAACUACAUUAUCAGAAGAUAUACCACAGAUCCUGACUAUCAAACCAGACAGAAGCAAUAUGUGGUCCAGAGGUACAACACGGAUGCCAGCUUUCAAACCAGACAGAAGCAAUAUAUGGUCCAGAGGUACAACACGGAUGCCAGCUUUCAAACCAGACAGAAACAAUAUAUGGACCAGAAAUACAAAGAGGAUCAUGUCAGAGAAAGGAAGAAGGCAUACAUAAGAACAAAAUAUGCAUCGGAUCCAAACUACAGGCACAAACAAAAAAAUCAAUUCAUGCCAGGUACCACAAUGACUCACAAUUCAGACUGCACCAUAUACAGCGCUGUGCCCAGUACCAGAGACACAAAAUGGCCACCACUGCAUCUUUCGCCAUUUAUAAAAGUUGUGUGCACAGAGAAUAAAGAAGAAAUACAGACGACUAGUAACACAAUUCCAGCAGGGUCCACAGUCUGAAGCACAGCCCCAACUUGUAGUGAAUAGUGUGAUGCAAGCAGCCACAUUAGCUUUCCGUGAAACAAUUAAGUUAGGACCCACCCAUGUCUGUACGGUGUGCCACAGAACUCUGUUUCCUAAUCAAGUUCAACACUGCAAAAGAUCAAAGUAUGUUACAAAUAGUCACGUUGUUGACACUUGCUUGACAGGAAAAUUUGUCCAUGUUUGUGAUAGUGAAUGUACAGCUAAUUGUACCUUUCCAAAACAAAGAAUGCAAGAGUGGAUUUGCUACAACUGUGACAGCCACCUACAACGAGGAAAGAUCUCUUCCAUCGCAGUGGCAAACAAUUUAGCACUAGCACCCAUUCCAAUUGAACUGAGUCAAUUAAAUGUACUAGAACGACAACUGAUUGCUAAAAUUCUCCCGUUUGCCAAAAUCAUUGCAUUACCAAAAGGACAGCAAAGAGCUGUACAUGGGGCUGUUGUUUGUGUACCGUCGGAUGUGGAAACCACAGUAAACUCUCUUCCCAGACCUUGCAAUGAAGCCCAGCUCCUGCAGGUACAACUGAAAAGACACAUCAGAUUCAAAGGAUACCAACACUUCUACACUGUGAACAUGAAGAAUGUGUUAGCGGGCUUAUCAAAGCUAAAAGAGAUGCAUUCAGAAUACAAAGAUGUAUCUAUUGAUGAUGACGCUACUUUUGCUGAUCCCACAAAUCAGAUAAUCGAGACGGAACAUGACACUGCUGAUGCAGAUAUUCAAGAUUCACUGCCCAGAAACUUCGACAACCAAAUUCUACCAGAAAGAAGAACCACUGAGGAUACAACAGCUGGAAUACUUGAGCCAUGUCAUGAUGUAAACGAACUAUUGGAGCCUGAACACUCAAAUGGAGAGCCCUUACAAGAUACGGAGAAAGAAAAGGAAGAACUUCGCCCCGGUCUUGUUCUAGACACCUGUAUGCAACCACCAGAUAUAGCACAGGACAUUUUAUCAUAUGGUGAAGGAAUAUUUAGCAUUGCACCCGCCCAAAGAAAUAGACCUGUUGGCUUCUUCUCUGUUCCUAAACUUGAAGCCAUGGCCUUUCCUGUGCAGUUCCCAACUGGACAGAACACAUUAGAUGAAGCCAGACAAGUCAAACUGUCCCCAAGCAUGUAUUUUAAUACACGGCUGUUCUCUGCAGAUACACGCUUUGCAACUGACCAAAGCUACCUAUUCUUUGCACAGUUUGUAACAGAAACACACAUGGCUACAAACAGCAUGUCCAUCCAAUUGCGCAAAGGUAAGGCAAUCACAAAGGAUGGACGUAGAAUUUGUAACAGAAUUCUUCAAAAUAAAGACGAAGUGGAGAGACUGAUAAAUAACAAAGAUGCAACACGCUUCAUGAAACCUCUGAGAGGUACUCCAGCCUAUUGGGAAAAGGCACUGAAAGAUCUGCAUGCUAUGGUCAGACAGUUAGGAAAGCCAACUUUUUUCCUGACAUUUUCAGCUGCUGAAAUGAGAUGGCCUGAGGUUGUUGAGGUCAUAAAAACUCAACAAGGUGAACAAGUGGAUUUUUCACAACUUGACUGGAACACAAAGUGUGAAAUUCUCCGAAGCAACCCUGUGACUGUGAUGCGAUUGUUUGAGAAAAGAGUCGAUGCACUAAUGACAACACUGAUCCUGUCCCCAGCACAGCCCAUCGGUGAAGUAGAAGAUUACUUUUAUCGAGUGGAGUUUCAGGCCAGAGGUAGCCCUCAUAUCCAUUUACUGGUUUGGGUCAAAGAUGCACCUAAAUUUGGAAGCGACCUUGAAGACCACGUGUACAAAUUUAUUGACAAGUACAUAACAUGUAAGAUGCCUGACCAAAAUGCCGAUCCUGAACUCAACAAAAUUGUGUCUGAGGUUCAAGUCCACAGCAGAAAUCACUCCAGAUCC